GAGUGACGCCUGAAGCUGAAGCAAUUAACACAAUGUUACACGACCGAAAGCUGAGGCAAGGGGCCAGUGUGGAGCCAUGGGAGGCUGUCAUCACUCAAUAUUAAUUGAUCCUACUUUUCAUCCAUAAAGCAGGGGCUGAAACAAAUUUUUGGUCACAAAAAUGGCAACUAUUACACUAUUAAGUCUCUAGAUUGGCAAGAAACAGUGGUAAGAAAAGAAACAGUUGGAUCACCAGUCUGAGGGAUAUGGAAGGCAAUCCAGAAAAACCUCAACAUCCUUCUCCCCAUUCCUUGCACACCUUUACAGCAUUAUUCCAGCCUGGGCUAUUAGAAACAGCAUCAGUAACUUUUCUUUCACACACUUCAUCUCGACCAUUUCUCACCAAGCAAGCCAUGAUGGACUGAAGACCGGUGAGCCCAUGCUCAGGGCAUCUUUGAUGCAUCUAUUAAGGCCUUAAAAGUUCAGCCUGUUGGCAUCAGCAGCCCUGAUGAGUCCACUCACCCCCAGGAAGCUCGUUUGAUUGAGGUACCUUUUCCAAGCUGCAGUUUGGUUGGUGGGUCCAAAGAUUAGAUUUGGUUUAGGAUUUCCAGGGCCCCCUGCACCUACCAAACAGCAGACAAGUCUCUAGCCAUGCAAGGUGCAGCAGGCCAAAGGCAAAUAAUGGUAAAUCAUGGCAGAUGCUUCUCCAAGAUAACACACAGACUCUAUUAGGGCUAUACCCAAGCUGGCCUGGUUUCCAGAUAUAGGAGAACAGACACCAGACUAGGACAUUAAAAACUCCAGAAUUUGGUGGGAUGUUUCAGACGCUGUUUCCUACAUUGAGAGACCUUACUAUCUUGUUCACCAUUGCAUGCUCAAUACAGAGCCUGAAAAAGAGUAGAUAAUCAAUAAAUAUUGAAUGGAUCAAUUUUGUUAAGUAACUUUGCCAGACAAGACUGCUUUCUCCAAAAAGAAAAGUCCACCCACAAGCUUGCCAGCUCCCUUGGGAAUAUAUUAUUAUACCUAUCUUGUGUCAAAGCAACAUGCAUUCCUUAUAGUGCCAUGUUGUACUCAUGCUUACAAACUAAUUCUGAGCUUACACUAGGGAUGCCCAAGUGAAAUAAUCCCUUCCCUCUUUUAAGAGGGCCCAAUGAGGCUGUCAAACUAAUGUGUACUCCUCCUGAUAAAUCAUGUGUAUGUACCUGCAAAGUAUGUUUAUGCAACAGAAUAGAAAAACAUCUCAGUGGCUGCUAAGUGUAGCAGGUACUCCUUGCCCAUGUAAUUUUUACUUAUCAGGAGCCCUGACCUGUAAACAAAGAAGAGUAUGCCUGAAACACAGAACUGAGGAAAUGACCUUCUAGACUUAAUGACAGUGGCAUGCAACUUGAGGCCAGAAUCACCUACCUUUUCACACCAGAUUUGCUUUUGAAAAUAUUUCGUAGAUAAAAUUCAACAGGACUCCUGUCUUCUGAAGCAUUGGUGAAAUAUGGUCAAACUAUAAAAUGACAGUGGACCCAGUGAAAUUAGAGAAAGCUUAAAAUUCUUUAACGCAAUAUUGCUAAUAAUAAUUAGUAGGGUGCAUAGAAUAUUAACUUGUUUUCUGUUCCGCUUUAACCAAAUUAGAUAACAAUUAUUACCACUACCUCAAGGCUGCUUUUAUGAAUCCCUGCAGAAAAAUAAUUUGGUUUUGCUUUGACAGAUAACAGUCAUCAGCAAGGAAUUUCAUUUUACUGAAGGCAGGCUUAGUUGCUGAAAUUUACUGCUUGGGUUACACACAUAUGCACAUGCACACACACACACAGACACACACACACACACACACACACACACACACCUGAGCCCAUUUUCAUACAAGACUGAGUAGUGUUGCUUCUUGGUCUGGAUUUAGAGUAGCUGGGAAAACAGCAUGAAGAGUUUUUACAUUCAGAAAGGAAUGCAAAGGAAUGUAAAGAAUGCCUUCCUUCCUUUUAAAUCUAAUCUUAUUACUCCCAUUAGUGAAUAUUUAACAAUAACACUAACGCUAAUAGCAGACUUGGUCGCAACAUCAAAAGCAACAAUACCAAAGAUGAAUAUAACAGCUUUGCUCAGAAAAACUUAAAGCUACGUCACACAUAUUAUCUCAUUUAUCUUUUGAAAAUCUCUUCAAACUGUAAGAGCAUAUUUAUCUACUUUGAGACAUGUUUUAUGGGAACCGAUUUCCUUAUUACUCUUUGCAUCUUCUGUUUAAAAACAUGGUCUGUUUUUAACACACCUCCCAGCCAGAACCUCAACUCAUAACUCAUGCCAUUGACUUCCUUGCAUGAAUCUCAAAAACAAAAACCAACUCUUAGCAAUUAUAGAAACCGGAAACAAAAAUGAAACACAAGUAGGAAGUUAAAUAACUUCACUGCAUCCAACAAUUGCUUUUGCCUAAACUGAAAUUAAAUAAAUAGACACACACACACUCUCCAUAAAAACUCUGCUACACAAUUUAUUAAUGAACAGUGAAAAGAAACAGAAGCCAAAAGUGGGUCAGGAGAAACUGUUUAAUCUAAUAGUCUGGAAAUUAUAUUGGAAGAAACAGAUGGUUUCACAGAAGUCAAUGUUACCUAGAGGAGCAAGGAGCGAUUUUCUAGGAAAGAAAAAUGUUUCCCUACCCUACCGCAUAUACUAUUUUCAGCAAAGGAGGAGUCUAUAUUCAGCACAGGAAAAGUCCCGAUAUUGGCACACUUACAAAACUGGGACUAAGUGGCAGCCAUCCACACAUACUCAAGCUCAGACUUGGCCUUCUGAAUCUGAGCUGGAGGUCAAACCUAGCCCUAUUUUAAAGCUGGGAACAACAGAAGCCAGCACUACGCUCCAGUGGGUUAUUGACCAACACUCAUGUUCUUGAUACCUAAGGAAAGUGGUCACCAACAGGUCAUGGGCAGCAUGACCCUUAAUGUGGCUCCGGACCCUCAGAGACUCUGUGGGUCCCAGGCAGCAGCAAGACACACAGGGCACAUGGAGUCGGAAGACCUCAGUGCAAGCUGCGGCUCUGUAAGACAAGACCACCCUAUUUGUCAGGCUCCCUAUUUGUCAAGCAGAACAAAAAACAUCUCUAGACUUGUAAGGAUGAAUUGAGCUAAAGUAUAUCAAGCUGCAUUGCAAACAACACAGCAUAAGACAAUGCUCAACCACUCAGUCUAUUCUCAUCCCCACCAUCUAUGAUUCACCAAAACAUGCAGCCAAAUUCUCCCUAGAGUAGGGCUCAAUCAAAAAGAGAACAUCAAAGCUGGGGUCCUUGAAUGACCGAUCACAGCCAACCAAAUCUCAAAGCCAUACCCGAGGGACCUUUGGUAUUGUCCACAAUCCUUAAGAGUAAAGAAUUGAAGAAGGCAAGUCUGAGUUCUGAUUCUAGCUCAUCACACAUUCGUUGCAGAACCACGGGCACAUUAGGUAACCUCACUGAGCCUUGUUUCCUCAUUUGUAAAAUCAAGAUCUCUAUAAGGAUUAAUUGACACUGAGCACCAUGCAUGCCACAUUAGCUGUUAUUACUGUUGCUACUGUUAACAAUGAUUAUAUCAAUACCAGCAGCAUCCAAGUCCACUGCUCCAUCACAAUACAUCAGCUGCAGGGAUCCCCAGAGAGGCCAGGGAGGGCGCAGGGGCAGAACAGCCUUUCUGCCAUGAAGAUGAAGGACUGUACGAGGAGGAGCCUCCCACCGGGGUGAGCUUAAAUUUGCGGAAAUAUAGAAAGUCCCGCCCCACCCAACUCUGACCCUGGGGCCUCUUGCAGCAGUAUCAAGGGCUGCUUAGAGCCUCCCUUCUAGCCAUCCACCUUCCCUCCUCCAGGGCUUCUGACAUUUUGCUCCAAGGUUUGUUUGUUUUUACUUAGAAAAAAUGCCAUCAACGUCAGUGACUGUAUGCUCAGUUCUGCUGAAGAGCUGCAAAUGUUAUAGAUGGAUUUGUUAUGUUCUAAAACUGCAGGUAUCAUAUUUACAGAGAGGUAAUAAAUACCUCAUUAAGGAAAGGCAAAACAAACACUUCAGAGUACUUGAGGCUCUAUCUAAAGGAACCCCAUGGUGAAACCCACUUUAAACCAAGAAUCCUCCUGUAAUGCAAAUAAGUACUCAUCCCCUCCAAUUCUCUUCCUUCCUUUCCCUAGUUUACGAUGUUGGGCUCCCCUGUAAAGCACCCCCCUCCCUCCCAGAACCUGCAGGCACCAGCAGCCAGGUAUCCAUCUUAGCCAGCUCCCUGAGACAUCACAGACUUAAGCUGAGUCUGUUGACACCUGUUCUGUAGUGUCAACUGUAGGUGGGGUGGGGACACAGAACCAAACCACAACACCAAGACUGACUUAAUGGGUCUGGUGUGCAGCUGGGCAUGGGAACUUUUUAAACAAACUUUGAGAAUCAUUGUGUCACCUUGUAUCCUUAUUUUUAUUCCUCUGGCCUGUCCUCCCAAAUAUAUUCCAAGUCACCUAAAGAAAGUAAGUUAUGAUUUGGUCAUAAUACAUAGGUAGGUAAGUAAACAUUUGUUGAAUUUAUUUUAUACUCAAAAGAUCACACUAGUAUAAUUUUUUUCUGCCAUCUCCACUCAAAUUAAAAAAAAAAAAAUUGUACUCCACAUGAUCUUUUAAGGUUCUCCAAGUGUGGUCCCCAGACCAGCAGCAUCAGCAUUGCCUGGGAACUUAUUACAAAAGCAGAUUCUCAGGCCUUGCCCUAGACUUACUAAAUCAGAAACUUUGAGGAUGGGGCCCAGGACUCUGCAUUUUGACAAGCCCUCCAGGCUAUUCUGAUUCACUCUCAAGGUUGGGAACCACUCCUUUAAGCUAAUGAUUAGUUUUAAAGGCUUUUCUGGAGAUUGACAUUAUUUUAGAUGAGGCCAUGGAACUGGCCUAUCAUCUCCCUUCACGAAAUCAGAAAGGCUAAUAGUGCCAGGAUUUAUAACUAGCCAUUAGGCACCCAAACACUUAGCUCCCCACAACUUUCAUUUCUUAAUUUUCAGAAUAUAAUGUAAAUCAUGAUCCAUUUUUUUAGAUUAGUCUUUUUCCCAGCCGUGAAGGGAGACUGAAAGGACAACUCUUAUAAACAAUGAUUAUCAGCUGCUUCUGUAGUUGUGUGUCAGACUAACACCCCCCAGACUGGAGGUCAAAGAAAAACUGGACCUGUAGAAAACUUAUUGCGCAAUGUGCAUGUCUUGAAUAAGGAAUGUCAUCCUGUUAUUAUCAUGACCACCCAAAAUUUAUAUACAGAGUUUAAGGCUAGAAUGCUGGUGGCCGAAAGCCAAGUAUGAGCCUGGUCAGCACAAUGUCGAAGAAAACAUCCCGAAAAUCAGUUCUUAAAGUCCUCUUAGACAGGAAAACCACAAAGAUGGGAAUUUGUAAAAUGCAGCAGUGUGGAAUGAUCCUCGAAAUUGUAAUGCGUGUCAUGGGAAUGUCUUAUAAGGAGGAACUUAAGAAUAGAAAUAGAAGAAGACAAGCUUGAGAAAGGGGCAAAGGUGAAUAAAUUACCUUUGAACUUUUUCAUGUUGAAGCCCUUCAAUUUAGUUUAAACCCACCACAGCACACAGAAGAUUCAGGAACCAAGAAAGCCAAAGUGAAGGCUUUGCUGUUCAGUAAAACUACAAGAUAUCCUGCAAAGCUCCAAGUGCUUGGUGGCCUAGCAAGUUUCUUUUAUAACUGCUCCAAACUCAAUAUCUCAAUUUAUUCUUCUAUACCGUGGGGGUGACUCCACCUACCUCAUAAGAUUGUUGUUAGUUUGUUUAGAAGAGAUUAAUACAACAGUAGGUGCUGAAUAAAAAGUAACUCUGAUUAUUACCUAUAAAAAAUGAAGCUCUCUACUCUCAUACAUUGUUGUUGGAAAUGUAAAAUAGAACAAACACUUUGGAAAACAGUUGAGCAGUAUCUUAUAAAGGUAAACAUGUAUUUAGCAUAAACCCAACAAUUCCACUCCUACAUAUUUCCCCAACAGAAGUGAAAACAUCCACACAAAACACUUGUUCGUGGAUAUUCAGCUUUUUUUUUUCAUAAUAGCCCCAAACUGGAAAUUUCCCAAAUGUUCAACAGGAAAAUGAUUCAACAAAUUGUGGCACAUGCAAACAAGGGAAUAUUACUCAGAAACAAAAAGGAAUUAACUCUUGAUACACACAACAGCAAGGACUCAAUACAUACAACAGCACAGACUCCAUGCAUAAAACAGCACGGACUCCAUACAUACAACAGCAAGGACUCCAUAUAUACAACAGCAAGGACUCCAUAUAUACAACAACAAGGACUCCAUACAUACAACAGCAAGGACUCCAUACAUACAACAUCAAGGACUCCAUACAUACAACAGCACAGAUUGAACUGCAAAGGCAUUAGGCUGAGUUAAAGAAGCCAGAGGCACACACACGGUAUGAUUCUAUGUACAUGUUAUUCAAAAAGAAGCAAAACUAUUCAACAGUGACACAGCAGAUCAGCAGUUGGCUGGGUCAGGGCAGGCACCUGAGGGAACUUUCUGGGGUGAUGGAAAAGUUUUAUAUCUUGAGUGUGGUGAUAGUUCUACAAAUGUUUACACCUAUCAGAACUCAUCACCCAGGCACUUCAUAUGGGUGUGUUUCAUGGUAUUUAAAUUAUAGUUCAAUAAAGUUAUUCAAACAAAUAUCACUGCGACACCCUUCAGUGGACUGGCAGUUGGCGCUGAGCUCUCUUUCAUGUGCGGUGGAUAAGCUUUGAGUGGAAAGAGCUGAAACACUGGAUUCUGGGCCCACUUACUACUUGUUACCUGCCAAAUCAAUUUCUUCAUCUGAAAAGAAAAGAAAAAUACCUUCCUUUCAACUUUCGGGGCUACUUGAAUCAUCAAGUGAGAGCAUUAUUGGAGAAUGCUUUAAAGCAGACUCAGCAUCUGGCUGUGGGGAACUCGUGUCAUCCCAGGUGCCCAGCACACCCACCUCCUCCUCUGCUUUCUGCUUUCCUUCACCUGCCAGGCAGUCCCUAGGACCACCUCCUAAUUUCUCUUUCCCCCACUCCUUUUCUUGUCCCCACUGCCACUGUCUUGACUGAGGCCACCUUUACCUUGCCUGAUGACUGCAAUGGUUUCUAUAUGUUUCCCCUCCCCCAGCAUUGCCCCUUCCAUCCUUCCUCAUUCUAAAUCCAGAGAAAUCUUUCCAGAAUGAGAAUCUGAUGUCACCUGCACCCCCUCCAUCUUAAAAACCUUCAGUGCUUUUGAGCUUAGACUCCUCAGCCCAACACCUAAGACCUUUCAUCAUCUGGCCCUACUUUCUUCUCCCCCAAAGAACAUGCUCCAACCAAACUGAACUGCCUGUGGCUCCCCACAUAUGCAGGGUUAUCUCCGUGUUUUGAUCCCUCCCACAAGUUGUCUCCUCUUCGUGAAAAGAUUAUCUGCUUCCACCCUCUUCUCCCAUCUUUUGCCUGACUAACAGCCAACUGUCCCUGGCACCAAAUUUGCAUAAAACUCCAAAUCCACCUGAGGAUUUCAAGUCUUCCUUGACACACAGACUCCUCCAUCAAGCCUGGGCUACCACCAUCCCAUCAGUCUCCAUUACUCUAGCAUCAAGUACUGGUUCUUCAUCUGUGAGAGAGUUUGAACCAAAGUAAAAUACCAAUCUAUAGUCUGGUGCUAUGGACUGAAUUGUGUCCUUCCAAAUCAUCCUAACCCCUAAAGUGACUACAUUUGGAGUAAGAAAGUAAUGAAGGUCAAAUCAUGUCAUAAGGAUGGGGCACAACGUGAUGGGACUAGUGUCCUUACAAGAUGAGACACAAGAGAGCUUGUGCUCGCUCCUGUUCUCUCUUUCUCACUCUCUCUGUCUUCCCCCCAACCCCCGUCUUCCCUCCCUCCCUCUCUGCCAUGUGAGGACACAAUGAGAAGGCUGUUGUCUGCAAGCCAAGAGAGCCCUGACCAGAACCCAACCAUGCUGGCACCUUGAUAUCCAGGGUAGCAACUUCCAGCCUCCAGAACUAUGAGAAAAUAAGCAUCUGUUGUUUAAGCCAGUCUGUGGUAUUUUAUUAUGGCAGCCCGAGCUGACUAAGGCAACCCAGGAACACCUCCUGUCUAGUUCACCCAAAUGUCCCCAAGACAUGGCAUCUGGCCCAAGGUUGACCUUCAAUAAAUAUCUGUGGAAUCAAUGAAUCCUCUUAUGGUCACUAUGAACCUAAGGGCAAAUCUUCAUGAUAAAAUGGUACAUUGUUAUGACUUAGAGACACAGAUUCUGACCUGAAACCGAAUUUUCCUCUCUUGAAAACAGACUAGAACAGUGUUAAGCUAUAGAACUUUCGGCAAUGAUAAAAACGUUCUCUGUCUGCGCUGUCCAAUAGCAGUCACCAGCCACACAUGGCUACUGAGCACUUGAAAUGUGGCUAGUGUGACAGAAGAACAGAAUAUUCUAUUUUACUUUGUUUUAAUUAAUGAUUACAUAUAAAUACCAUGUGGCUGGUGGCUCCUGUACUAGUCAGUGCAGGACUGGACCAUUCAAGGAAGGCCCAAGCCCUGGGCACCGGCCUCAUUACACAGAUUGCUCUCCGUGCCAACUGUCCCUGGCACCAAAUGUGCAUAAAACAUAGUCGAUUUUCACAGAGCUGACAUAGGUAGCUUUCAAGUGGUGUUAGAGUGGCCUGGCACAGAGAGGCUGGCAAAACGCUCACAUAAAAGGCAUAACGGGGUACCGUUUUGCAGAAAUUGUGAUGCUUUAUGGGCCUCCAUCUGCGAUGAAACCCAUCAAAGGGCAGGUUCAUCCCUCGGUGACCAGAGUUAAUUGAAAAUUUAAGACCCAAUCAAAUCACCCAGAAUUGAGAUUUUUGGCAGCUUAUGUGCUUCACUGUAAGAUUCCUGCUGCUUUCGCCUCUGCCAGCCCCACAAGUGAGGCUGCAUGUUCCAGUAUCUUCAACAACAGCACUGAGCUUUAAGCAAGGGACAAACUCAACAGUGUUAACUGUGAUCCUGACUUUUUUUUUUUUUUUUUUUGAGACGGAGUUUCACUCUUGUUGCCCAGGCUGGAGUGCAAUGGUGCGAUCUCAGCUCACCGCAACCUCUACCUCCCAGGUUCAAGCAAUUCUGCCUCAGCGUCCCGAGUAGCUGGGAUUAUAGGCAUGUGCCACCAUGUCUGGCUAACUUUGUAUUUUUAGUAGAGAUGGGGUUUCUCCAUGUUGGUCAGGCUGGUCUCGAACUCCUGACCUCAGGUGAUCCCCCUGCCUCGGCCUUCCAAAGUGUUGGGAUUACAGGCGUGAGCCACUGCACCCAGCUUAUCCUCACUUUUUGGAAAAUGCACAUGGCACCCUUCCUACCUAAGCCAUCAGGUGGACAUGGGCCAAUACCUCCCUGACUUGUAUUUGCCUAAGAGUCAAAUAAGCAUCGUCUCCAUGAAAAAUAAGUGUAUAGAGUGUCAUUUAAAAAUCUGCUAUGGUUAAAACCUUAUGGAAGAGGAAUCUUCUUAUACCAUUCUACAUGAUAAUAAGUUUUCUAACAACAACAUUCCAGUUGGUGUUAAUGCCUAUUUGUGUCGCAUCUUGCAGUCUGGCAUCACAAGAGCUUUGAUGCCCAAGAUUCUAGAAUUCUAUAUUCGAAUUCUUCCCCCAACCACUUCCUAGCACUGCCUCUUUGGGCAAGUUACUUAACCUCGCUGAGUAUCCAUUUCCUUGUCUGCAAAAAGAAAUGAGUGUAUCCACCUACCUUACUGGGUUACUGCAAACAUAAAAUGACAUAAGAAGCCACACAAAGAUGAAUGUUCAUAGCAACUUAACCUGUGAUAGCCAAAACCUGGAAAUGACCCAGAUGUUUAUCAACCAGUGAAUGGAAAAACAAACUGUGGUACAAUCAAACAACAGAAUACUACUCAGCAGUAAAACAGAAAACACACCAAACAACAUAAAUCAAUCUUAAAUGAGUAAGUUGAGUGAAUGAGAAGAGCUAGGUUUUGAAAAAGAGUACGUACUAUUUGAUUCCAUUUAUAUAACAUCCUGGGAAAUAAAAUCAGUGAUGGAGGCCGGGUGAGGUGGCUCACACCUGUAAUCCCGGCACUUUGGGAAGCUGAGGCAGGCAGAUCACCUGAGAUCAGGAGUUCGAGACCAGCCUGGCCAACAUGGCAAAAGCCUGUGUCUACUAAAAAUAAAAAAAUUAGCUGGGCAUGGUGGCGGGCACCUGUAAUCCCAACUACUCGGCAGGCUGAGGCACAAGAAUUAUUUGAACCCAGGAGGUGAAGAUUGCAGUGAGCCGAGAUUGCACCACCACACUCCAGCCUGGGCAACAGAGUGAGACUUCGCUUCAAAAAAAAAUCAGUGAUGGAGAGGAGAUUAGUGGUUGUCUGGGGUUGGAGGGAUAACAAAGGGGCAUGAGGAAACUUCUGGGGCAAUGGAAAUGUUCUGCAUCUUGAUGUGAUGA